GCCUAGAUAGCUCAGUUGGCUAGAGCACACGGUUCAUACCCGUGCGGUCGGUGGUUCGAAUCCACUUCUAGGCA
rfam:Ilyobacter polytropus DSM 2926 plasmid pILYOP01, complete sequence.